CAGUCGCCGCGGUAAUACGUAGGUGGCAAGCGUUGUCCGGAAUUAUUGGGCGUAAAGGGCUCGCAGGCGGUUUGACAAGUCUUAUGUGAAAUCUCUGGGCUCAACCCAGGGUCUGCAUGGGAAACUGUCGAGCUUGAGUAUGGGAGAGGUGAGUGGAAUUUCCGGUGUAGCGGUGAAAUGCGUAGAUAUCGGAAGGAACACCUGUGGCGAAAGCGGCUCACUGGACCAUUACUGACGCUGAUGCACGAAAGCUAGGGGAGCAAACAGGAUUAGAUACCCGAGUAGUCCCUGUCUCUUAUAC
rnacentral:rRNA from 1 species